rnacentral:rRNA from 1 species
GAUGAACGCUGGCGGCGUGCCUAAUACAUGCAAGUCGAGCGAACAGACGAGAAGCUUGCUUCUCUGAUGUUAGCGGCGGACGGGUGAGUAACACGUGGAUAACCUACCUAUAAGACUGGGAUAACUUCGGGAAACCGGAGCUAAUACCGGAUAAUAUUUUGAACCGCAUGGUUCAAUAGUGAAAGACGGUCUUGCUGUCACUUAUAGAUGGAUCCGCGCUGCAUUAGCUAGUUGGUAAGGUAACGGCUUACCAAGGCAACGAUGCAUAGCCGACCUGAGAGGGUGAUCGGCCACACUGGAACUGAGACACGGUCCAGACUCCUACGGGAGGCAGCAGUAGGGAAUCUUCCGCAAUGGGCGAAAGCCUGACGGAGCAACGCCGCGUGAGUGAUGAAGGUCUUCGGAUCGUAAAACUCUGUUAUUAGGGAAGAACAAAUGUGUAAGUAACUAUGCACAUCUUGACGGUACCUAAUCAGAAAGCCACGGCUAACUACGUG